rnacentral:rRNA from 1 species
AGAGUUUGAUCAUGGCUCAGGGUUAACGCUGGCGGCGUGCCUAACACAUGCAAGUCGAACGGUUCUAAGCGCGAGCUUAGGAUAGUGGCGAACGGGUGAGUAAAAGGUAGGAAUCUACCCCUUGGACGGAGAUAGCUACUGGAAACAGUAGGUAAACUUCGAUAAGCCCGAGAGGGGAAAGUGGUGAGACAGCCGAGGGAUGAGCCUACUCUCCAUCAGGUAGUUGGUGAGAUAAAAGCUUACCAAGCCGAUGACGGAUAACCGGUGUGAGAGCAUGAACGGUCACAAGGGCACUGAGAGACGGGCCCUACUCCUACGGGAGGCAGCAGUGGGGAAUCUUGGACAAUGGGCGAAAGCCUGAUCCAGCGACGCCGCGUGGAGGAAGAAGUCCUUCGGGAUGUAAACUUCUGAACUAGCCGAAUAAAAGGCCUGUGGACACACAGGAGAAGAAAGUAGGCUAGGAAAAGUCCCGGCUAACUACGUGCCAGCAGCCGCGGUAAU